rnacentral:tRNA from 1 species
GUGACCAUGGUGUAACGGUAGCCUUCUGGGUUGUGUCCCCAGAGGAGAGGGUUCGAUUCCCUCUGGUCACCCC